UACGGAGGGAGCUAGCGUUGUUCGGAAUUACUGGGCGUAAAGCGCGCGUAGGCGGCUUUGUAAGUUAGAGGUGAAAGCCCGGGGCUCAACCCCGGAAUUGCCUUUAAGACUGCAUCGCUUGAAUCCGGGAGAGGUGAGUGGAAUUCCGAGUGUAGAGGUGAAAUUCGUAGAUAUUCGGAAGAACACCAGUGGCGAAAGGCGGCUCACUGGACCGGCAUUGACGCUGAGGUGCGAAAGCGUGGGGAGCAAACAGG
rnacentral:rRNA from 1 species